GUGAGUAACACGUAGGCAACCUGCCUGUAAGACUGGGAUAACUCGUGGAAACGCGAGCUAAUACCGGAUAACACUUUUCAUCUCCUGGUGAGAAGUUGAAAGGCGGCUUUUGCUGUCACUUACAGAUGGGCCUGCGGCGCAUUAGCUAGUUGGUAAGGUAACGGCUUACCAAGGCGACGAUGCGUAGCCGACCUGAGAGGGUGAUCGGCCACACUGGGACUGAGACACGGCCCAGACUCCUACGGGAGGCAGCAGUAGGGAAUCUUCCGCAAUGGACGAAAGUCUGACGGAGCAACGCCGCGUGAGUGAUGAAGGUUUUCGGAUCGUAAAACUCUGUUGUUAGGGAAGAACAAGUACUAUAGUAACUGAUAGUACCUUGACGGUACCUAACCAGAAAGCCACGGCUAACUACGUGCCAGCAGCCGCGGUAAUACGUAGGUGGCAAGCGUUGUCCGGAAUUAUUGGGCGUAAAGCGCUCGCAGGCGGUUCUUCUGAUGUGAAAUCUUACGGCUCAACCGUAAACGUGCAUUGGAAACUGGGGAACUUGAGUGCAUAAGAGGAGAGUGCACGUGUAGCGGUGAAAUGCGUAGAGAUGUGGAGGAACACCAGUGGCGAAGGCUACUCUCUGGUCUGUAACUGACGCUGAGGAGCGCAAGCGUGUGGAUCCAUCAUGAUUACAUUCCCCCGGGUGUCCACUCCGAACACGAUGAGUGCUAUUGU
rnacentral:rRNA from 1 species